rnacentral:lncRNA from 1 species
UUUAAGGCCCAUGAACAGCACGAAGUUAUAUUACUGAGAAUUCUCAAUUUUCUUUCUGGUAGACUUACCUGGAGAAACCGCCCCUAUCGAUCCACCGUUCACGGCAGAGAGAGGUCUGCUUUUGCCUUUCACUUCUUUCUAUCUCGACAGAUCCUGUCGAUCUUCGAUUUUUUGCCUUGCUCGAUUCGAUUCCGUACUGCGAUUUUUUUCUUCCCGGAGGUAUUUUUUUUUUAUGAUCUGAGGGAGGAAAUCUCGUAGCCUCGUUUUUUGCAGUCUUUUUAUUUUUGCAAUAAUUUAGGUUUUAUUCGUUUGUAUUGUUAUGUAUUCUGAUUUUGAUCUAAAUUCAUUCCGAUUUUGCAUUCUUCAUUAUGAUUUUUCUUCUUGCAUUUUGAGAUUUCAUUUGAACAUCAUUAGGAUUCGUGAUUAGAUUUCUUCUUUGAUUUAGAAUAUCAAUAUAUUGUUGUUCAUCGUUUUUAUAUUAAUCAUUCUAUGUUGCCAAAUGAGCAAAAUACUAUCUUGAAUAAAAUUGUUGUAUUUUUUUAUUAAUUGAUUUGAUUCUUUCCAUUUUUCAGUUUUUGAUCUAAAAUGGAUAAAGAGAUUGUUAAUGAUAAUAAAUAAAUUAUUAAUAUAAUUUUCUACUUAUAUAAAAUGGAUCCAUUUUUGGUGAGGUGUCAUCUAGCCGUCCGUCUAUGGCGUCGAUUCUCAGCCGUAUAAUUCCAAGCCGUGUACAUUUUCUGUCUUGUCUCCAUGCCGUGUACUGUAGAUGUACCGUUCGUAGGCGUCUUGUCAUACCUGCCACUGUUUGGCAUGUAGAUUCACGCCCAGAAUUUUGCCAUGACGUUCUUCCCCUCACGUAGAUUCAGUACUAAACAACGACCAUACGAUUUCGAUCCUCAUUCAUCUGGACAACCAUCUGCAUCGGGCAGGAGUUGCGGACGUCUGUACAGGAAGGGGGGUGUAUAUAAAAUAUGGACUAAUACUCGGUAUUAGACCCACAGUAAAAAUAUAUUGGAUAGAUAUCCAUUAGAUAACUUACAUAGUAAGGUAACUUUUACCGGAAGGAAAAGAUAAGGUUAUCUAUUUUACAGAACUUAUCUCAAUGUAAUAGCAUAUAUAAAGAACAUUCAUCAAUGAGAAUAAGUAAUCUGUUUU